rnacentral:piRNA from 1 species
AAAUAAAGAGGACUUGAAUUUACA